rnacentral:rRNA from 1 species
GACGAACGCUGGCGGCGUGCUUAACACAUGCAAGUCGAACGGAAAGGCCCUGCUUUUGUGGGGUGCUCGAGUGGCGAACGGGUGAGUAACACGUGAGUAACCUGCCCUUGACUUUGGGAUAACUUCAGGAAACUGGGGCUAAUACCGGAUAGGAGCUCUUGCUGCUUGGUGGGGGUUGGAAAGUUUCGGCGGUUGGGGAUGGACUCGCGGCUUAUCAGCUUGUUGGUGGGGUAGUGGCUUACCAAGGCUUUGACGGGUAGCCGGCCUGAGAGGGUGACCGGCCACAUUGGGACUGAGAUACGGCCCAGACUCCUACGGGAGGCAGCAGUGGGGAAUAUUGCACAAUGGGCGGAAGCCUGAUGCAGCAACGCCGCGUGCGGGAUGACGGCCUUCGGGUUGUAAACCGCUUUCGCCUGUGACGAAGCGUGAGUGACGGUAAUGGGUAAAGAAGCACCGGCUAACUACGUG